rnacentral:rRNA from 1 species
GGAUGAACGCUGGCGGCGUGCCUAAUACAUGCAAGUCGAGCGAACGGACAAGGAGCUUGCUCCUUUGAAGUUAGCGGCGGACGGGUGAGUAACACGUGGGUAACCUACCUAUAAGACUGGAAUAACUCCGGGAAACCGGGGCUAAUGCCGGAUAACAUGUUGAACCGCAUGGUUCAACAGUGAAAGACGGUCUUGCUGUCACUUAUAGAUGGACCCGCGCCGUAUUAGCUAGUUGGUGGGGUAACGGCCUACCAAGGCGACGAUACGUAGCCGACCUGAGAGGGUGAUCGGCCACACUGGAACUGAGACACGGUCCAGACUCCUACGGGAGGCAGCAGUAGGGAAUCUUCCGCAAUGGGCGAAAGCCUGACGGAGCAACGCCGCGUGAGUGAUGAAGGUCUUCGGAUCGUAAAGCUCUGUUGUUAGGGAAGAACAAAUGUGUAAGUAACUGUGCACGUCUUGACGGUACCUAACCAGAAAGCCACGGCUAACUACGUGCCAGCAGCCGCGGUAAUACGUAGGUGGCAAGCGUUAUCCGGAAUUAUUGGGCGUAAAGCGCGCGUAGGCGGUUUUUUAAGUCUGAUGUGAAAGCCCACGGCUCAACCGUGGAGGGUCAUUGGAAACUGGAAAACUUGAGUGCAGAAGAGGAAAGUGGAAUUCCAUGUGUAGCGGUGAAAUGCGCAGAGAUAUGGAGGAACACCAGUGGCGAAGGCGGCUUUCUGGUCUGCAACUGACGCUGAUGUGCGAAAGCGUGGGGAUCAAACAGGAUUAGAUACCCUGGUAGUCCACGCCGUAAACGAUG